rnacentral:rRNA from 1 species
GACGAACGCUGGCGGCGGGCUUAACACAUGCAAGUCGAACGGAAAGGCCCUGCUUGUGUGGGGUGCUCGAGUGGCGAACGGGUGAGUAACACGUGAGUAACCUGCCCUUGACUUUGGGAUAACUUCAGGAAACUGGGGCUAAUACCGGAUAGGAGCUCCUGCUGCAUGGGGGGGGUUGGAAAGUUUCGGCGGUUGGGGAUGGACUCGCGGCUUAUCAGCUUGUUGGUGGGGUAGUGGCUUACCAAGGGUUUGACGGGUAGCCGGCCUGAGAGGGUGAACAGCCACCUUGGGCCUGAGAUACGGACCAGACUCCUACGGGAGGCAGCAGUGGGGAAUAUUGCACAGUGGGCGGAAGCCUGAUGCAGCAACGCCGCGUGCGGGAUGACGUCCUUCGGGUUGUAAACCGCUUUCGCCUGUGACGAAGCGUGAGUGACGGUAAUGGGUAAAGAAGCACCGGCUAACUACGUG